rnacentral:SRP_RNA from 1 species
AGCCGGGCCCCGUGGAACGACGGAUUGUGAACUCCGUCAGAUCCGGGAGGAAGCAGCGGCAGCAAUUUCGGCGUUUGCUACGGGUCCCCCGGCUGUC